UACGUAGGGUGCGAGCGUUAAUCGGAAUUACUGGGCGUAAAGCGUGCGCAGGCGGCUUUGCAAGACAGAUGUGAAAUCCCCGGGCUCAACCUGGGAACUGCAUUUGUGACUGCAAGGCUAGAGUACGGCAGAGGGGGAUGGAAUUCCGCGCGUAGCAGUGAAAUGCGUAGAUAUGCGGAGGAACACCGAUGGCGAAGGCAAUCCCCUGGGCCUGUACUGACGCUCAUGCACGAAAGCGUGGGGAGCAAACAGG
rnacentral:rRNA from 1 species